rnacentral:rRNA from 1 species
CCUACAGGAGGCUGCAGUGGGGAAUAUUGGACAAUGGGGGCAACCCUGAUCCAGCCAUGCCGCGUGUGUGAAGAAGGCCCUCGGGUUGUAAAGCACUUUCAGUGAGGAAGAACGCCUGGUGGUUAAUACCCAUCAGGAAAGACAUCACUCACAGAAGAAGCACCGGCUAACUCCGUGCCAGCAGCCGCGGUAAUACGGAGGGUGCGAGCGUUAAUCGGAAUUACUGGGCGUAAAGCGCGCGUAGGUGGCUUGAUAAGCCGGUUGUGAAAGCCCCGGGCUCAACCUGGGAACGGCAUCCGGAACUGUCAAGCUAGAGUGCAGGAGAGGAAGGUAGAAUUCCCGGUGUAGCGGUGAAAUGCGUAGAGAUCGGGAGGAAUACCAGUGGCGAAGGCGGCCUUCUGGACUGACACUGACACUGAGGUGCGAAAGCGUGGGUAGCAAACAGGAUUAGAUACCCCUGUAGUC